AAAAAGGGCAUUUGGUGGAUGCCUUGACACUAGGAGGCGAUGAAGGACGUAGUACGUUGCGAAAAGUCACGGGGAGAUGCGAACAAUCUUUGAUCCGUGAAUAUCCGAAUGGGAAAACCCACAGCAUUAAGCUGUAUUGCAUUGUAAAUACAUAGCGAUGCAAAGCGAACGCAGGGAACUGAAACAUCUAAGUACCUGCAGGAAAGGAAAUCAAACGAGACUCCGCUAGUAGUGGCGAGCGAACGCGGAUCAGGUCAGUAACCACGGAGAUAUAACUCGAAUUAGCUGGGAAGCUAAACCAAAGGGGGUGAAAGUCCCGUAGAGGUAGGAAUACUGUGGUUCUUGAGUAGGACGGAGCACGAGAAAUUCUGUCUGAAGAUGGGGGGACCGCCCUCCAAGCCUAAGUACUACCUAGUGAUCGAUAGUGAACCAGUACCGUGAGGGAAAGGUGAAAAGAACCUCGAGUAGAGGAGUGAAAUAGAUCUGAAACCGGAUGCCUACAAACAGUUGUAGCGAGGUAUAUCUCGGAAGGGGUAUACACAGAAUCGUGACAGCGUACCUUUUGCAUAAUGAGUCAGCGAGUUCGUGUUGGGAGCAAGCCUAAGCCGAUAGGUGGAGGCGUAGGGAAACCGAGUCUGAAUAGGGCGAUUUGUAGUUUCUAGCAUGAGACCCGAAACCGGGUGAGCUAACCAUGGGCAGAUUGAAGUCCAGGUAACACUGGAUGGAGGAUCGAACCCACCACUGUUGCAAUAGUGGGGGAUGACCUGUGGUUAGGGGUGAAAGGCCAAUCAAACUCGGAGAUAGCUGGUUCUCCGCGAAAUCUAUUGAGGUAGAGCGUUAAUUGUUUGCUGUUGGGGGUAGAGCACUGAAUGGACUAGGGGGAAGCGAUUCCUACCAAAUCCAAACAAACUCCGAAUACCAACAAGUAUAGAUUAGCAGACACACAGUGGGAGCUAAGUUCCAUUGUGGAAAGGGAAAGAGCCCUAAUCGUCCGCUAAGGUCCCUAAGUUGUAGUUAAGUGGAAAAGGAAGUGGGGAGACCAAGACAGCCAGGAGGUUGGCUUAGAAGCAGCCAUCCUUUAAAGAAAGCGUAAUAGCUCACUGGUCUAGUUUAAGUUUUUCUGCGCCGAAGAUGUAACGGGGCUAAAACUACACACCGAAGCGACGGGUUCGCGCGGCAUAGCAUGUCGUGUGAGCGGUAGCGGAGCGUUCCGUAGGUCGAUGAAGUCGUAUUCGUGAGAAACGAUGGAGAUAUCGGAAGUGAGAAUGCUGACAUGAGUAACGAUAAGGCGUGUGGAAGACAUGCCCGCCGAAAGUCCAAGGGUUCCUACGCAAUGUUAAUCAGCGUAGGGUGAGUCGGUUCCUAAGGCGAGGACGAAAGUCGUAGUCGAUGGGAAUACGGUUAAUAUUCCGUAACCUGGGUGGUGAUGACAAAGUUGAAGAUUAGUUAAUGCUUAUUGGAUUGUGUUGGCUAAUUGAGGCUUUCAGGAAAUAGCCCAUCUGUAUAGACCGUACCCUAAACCGCCACUGGUGGAUGAGUAGAGGAUACUAAGGCGCUUGAGAGAAUGAUGUUGAAGGAACUCGGCAAAUUGCCCUUGUAACUUAGGGAUAAGAGGGAUCAUCUUGAGGGCAACCUCGAGGUGAUGGCACAGAAUAGGGGGUAGCGACUGUUUAUCAAAAACACAGGACUAUGCGAAAUCGAGAGAUGAUGUAUAUGGUCUGACGCCUGCCCGGUGCCGGAAGGUUAACAGGAGGAGUGAGAGCUCUGAAUGGAAGCCCCGGUAAACGGCGGCCGUAACUCUAACGGUCCUAAGGUAGCGAAAUUCCUUGUCAGGUAAGUUCUGACCCGCACGAAUGGCGUAACGAUUUCCCCACUGUCUCCAACAUCAACUCAGUGAAAUUGGAAUCCCGGUGAAAAUACCGGGUACCCGCGGUUAGACGGAAAGACCCCGUGCACCUUUACUACAGCUUUGCAGUGGUAUUAGAUGAUUGAUGAGUAGAAUAGGUGGGAGCCUUGGAAGCUGGCACGACAGUGUCGGUGGAGGCGCAAUGUGAAAUACCACCCUUCGAUUGUUUGAUAUCUAACAGUGGUUCGAGAACCGGAUCCUGGACCCUGCAUGGCGGGUAGUUUGACUGGGGCGGUCGCCUCCCAAAGAGUAACGGAGGCGUGCGAAGGUAGGCUCAAUCUGGACGGAAACCAGAUGGCGAGUGCAAUGGCAAAAGCCUGCCUGACUGCGAGACCCACAAGUCGAGCAGAGACGAAAGUCGGUCAUAGUGACCCGGUGAUUCUGCGUGGAAGGGUCAUCGAUCAACGAAUAAAAGGUACGCCGGGGAUAACAGGCUGAUCUCCCCCAAGAGUUCACAUCGACGGGGAGGUUUGGCACCUCGAUGUCGGCUCAUCACAUCCUGGGGCUGAAGAAGGUCCCAAGGGUUUGGCUGUUCGCCAAUUAAAGUGGUACGCGAGCUGGGUUCAGAACGUCGUGAGACAGUUCGGUCCCUAUCUGCCGUGGGUGUAGGAUAAUUGAGGGGAUCUGUUCCUAGUACGAGAGGACCGGAAUGGACAUACCGCUGGUGGAUCUGUUGUCCCGCCUGGGGCAUAGCAGAGUGGCUACAGUAUGGAAGAGAUAAACGCUGAAAGCAUCUAAGCGUGAAACUCGCCCCAAGACUAGAAAUCCCAAUUAAGGACGUGGAAGACAACCACGUUGAUAGGUCGGAUGUGGAAGUGCAGUAAUGUAUGGAGCUAACCGAUACUAAUAACCUGAUUGGCUUGU
rnacentral:rRNA from 1 species